rnacentral:lncRNA from 1 species
GUGAAAUGUGUGCCUCAGAUCUGCAAAUGAAAGAGGAUCACAAACAUAUGGUUAAUGACUCAUCCCAAAUGGAAAAACAGAGUUUGUUAUAUUUUAUGGAGAUUUUACAUGUUGAAGGUACAUCUGUUGCUAUUUAUGCUGACAUGUAUGUAGAGAUUGGCAGACCAAGUCCUCUGUAGGGAUGAGCGAAAUCCAAACCAAACCACAGAACUUUCUAACUUGGAGGCUGGCUCCUGGGAUGGAAAACGGUUUCCUGAUCCCUUGAAACACUGCCCGGCUGAGCAGGGUGACUUGGAGAGGCCCACAUCACAGGACUGCACAGUUGGAUGAAGCAACAAAACGUCCUGCUUUGCUCAGGGCCUCCAGAGAGCGCAGAACAAAGGCAGGAAGCACGAGGGGUGCUGGAGAGCGCGGGGACCAGUCUCACAGCCUUCUCAGGACUCAACGCCUUCUUGGGGGACUGCUUCAGGCAAAAGAGACCACUUCCAUUCUGACACGAACGCACCACCCAGAAUCACACGAAACCUACUCCCUUUAGAUCUGCUAGUGACAUUCUCUAAGAGAAUGUCCAUGUGCUCUCACAGACAUUUUUUUUUUUUCCAGUUGAGAAGCUCCGGAGUACAGGAGAAACAACAGGUAAAUAAGCAACGAUACGACAAGGCUGAAGAGACAAGUGCCCUGAGAGUGUUGUGGGCUGAACGGUGUCCCCCCAAAUUCAUAUGUGGAGGCCCCAACCCCUGGUACCUCAGAAUGUGACCGUAUUUGGAGACAGAGUCUUUAAAGAAGUAAUGAAGUUAAAAUGAGGUCAUUAGGGAGGGCCCUAAUCCAAGUGUCCUUAUAAAAAGAGGCAAUUUGGACAGAGACAAGUACAGAAGGAAGACUGUGUGAGGACACAGGGAAAAGAUGACCAUCUACAACCCAAGGAGACAAGCUUCAGAAGAAACAGCCCUUCUGACACCUUGAUGCUAAAUAUCUAGCCUCCAGAACUGUGAGAAAAUAAAGUCCUAUUGUCUGAGUCACCCAGUCUGUGGUCCUUUGUUAUGGCAGCACAAGCAGAUGAGUGCAAGUCAACCAGAUAACGUGCUCUGAGAAUCCAGAGGUGGAAGAGAAGAUUUUGGUUUGGUGGGAUCAAAAAACAUCGUCUGGAAGAGGGAGCACAUUAAUUAUGGCGUGAGAGAUGGGUAGAGUCUGCUCCUGCACUGACAGCAAGGCUGAAUAAACAGAAUCAGAAGCUCAACUUGCUUAUACAGACCUGCCCAGGGCAGCAUUCGCAGUCCCCAGGGAGUCCUCCACAUCAUCCACGGGGAAGUUCUCCCCACUCUUGUGGCCAGGGCUCCGCCGCGGCAUACACGGUCCUCGCUGUCUGAUCCUUUCCAACAGUCAACUCUACUCCAGAUUCAGAUAACCAUGAUCCUGCCCUCCGGAAGUCAGAAAAGAAUGAAUAACUUUGAACACAUCACAGCAAUAAAAAUAUAAGAAUAAUGCUGGGGUCAUCACAAACAGAGGCAGAUGGUGGUGGCAUUUCCUUCUUGCCGGGAGCUCAGAUAUUAUCUGGAUAGAUUUCAGCAGGCUUUGUGUCCAUUCCCUCUCAGCGCGGGCAGCUUUCCUGGAUAGAGCCCCAGCCACCCAAACGGCAGACAGAUUUGAUUUAACUGCGAUGACUUGUGGAGUUUUUCUACCUUUGGUAGAGCUGCCUCCAGACAAGGGAGAUGAGAAGAGGCUCUGGCCUGCUGACGCUAAGUGGAGAAGCAUUUGCAGGUGUUCUCCAAUGGGAUCUGGAUUUUCAAACUUUCUUUCUCAAGGGUUCUGCAAUGUUGCACCCCAACAGGCACAAAGGCAGGGCUGCCAUGCUCUACAGAGUGGAACUUGAAGAUUCAUCAGAGACCUUGUCCAAGAUUUGGAACAGACCCAGCGUUGUUCCAAGGAACCUAACCCAGCCUGUGAGAGACUCCUACAGGCCGUCUCUGGUGCCACAACCUUCCAUUGGGGCUGGAACACUGGUUAUGCUUAUGAGCUUUCAAAGUAGAAUGUCAACCUCAUCACCCAUUUGCAUGAUUUCCAAAGCAUAUUAAUCUGGCUUCCACUAGUAACACAGAAUAUAACAUAUCUUACUUGCAACAGGAAAUAUUUCCUUUCUACUAUUUGCUAUUCUUCAUCAUUAAAAAAAAUCUGUCUGAAAUCUAAAUACCCAGAAAGAGGGGUGGGCUCACAGGGAACACAACCAUUUGGUGGAUCACUGCUCAACCUGAAGCAACAGAAAUAUGAAGGCCACAGAGCAACUUCAAAACUGCAUUUGAUGCUAAUUUAAAACAAAGUACUACUCAAACUUUCAUAGAUGAAAAUCACAUAAUUUUUAAACAAAUACUUUAAAUAGUCUGAAAUGAGAAAUAAUUGAUGCCAAAGGUCAAAACUGGCAAUCCAAGAGUUGGGUCUGGCCCGAAAGUGUGUCUCAUAUGGCCCACACGGUGGGGGUCAGCUGAGUUUGAAUAAAAAACGGAGUAGGUUGCCAACAUUUAGAAAUUGGCACAUGGCACAUAACCACCCGGAUUGCUGCCUUCUCCUGAGACACUGGGCAAUCUGGCCUCGGCAGGCUGCUUUCCCUCCAGGCAACAGUUGGGGGCAGGUGAUGGGCAUUUGUCAUCCAGGUUGCCAGAGUCCCUGCUGGGCCAGAUUUCUCGCUCAUUGAGUUUGUAAGCCUGGCCCAGGUGCAAGGGUGGUAGGGUUCUGGGUCAUUUUCCCUCUCUCCCCUUCUUCCAAAACUUGCUCUUGGUUAUUAUGCUACUUCAGAGUUAAAAUAAUCAUUAAAUGCCCAGUUGUAAAAGGUAAUGUGGAGGAAGAGAGUCUGAGGCCCAUACUACUUCUCUACUUCUUGGAUGUUAUUUUCACAUUUCUAGCCUUACGCCCAGUGCACUCGCUUGAGAAUGUGAGCGUGGCCCCGUGGUUCUCGAACGUGGCUACACUAGAAUCACCUGGGGCACUUUUGAUGUCCAGCUUGCACUCCAGACCAAUUAAAUCAGACUCUUGGGAAGUGGGAUUCAGGCAACAGAUUUUUAAAGUUCCCAGGUGAUUCCAAUGUAAAAAGGUCCUUGAAAAAAUCAUGGAAAACUUUAUGUUAGAGCAGUUUCUCAAGCUCGUCACUAUUUUCAUUUGGGACCUGAUAAAUCUUAUUUCUGGGGACCAGUCCUAUGGACUGUAGGAUGUUUAGCAGCAUCUCUGGCCUCUACCCAUAGAUGCAGUAGCAUUUCUCCAGAUGAGAACCACGGCAUUCGAUAGUGAAACUAUGGUCAUUUUUUUUUUAAAGAUUUUAUUUUUUUCCUUUUUCUCCCCAAAGACCCCCGGUAGAUAGUUUCUUUGUUGUGGGUCCUUCCAGCUGUGGCAUGUGGGACGCCACCUCAGCGUGGCCUGAUGAGCAGUGCCAUGUCCGCGCCCAGGACUCGAACCAAUGAAACACUGGGCCGCCUGCAGUGGAGUGCGUGAACUUAACCACUCAGCCACGGGGCCAGCCCCCGAAACUGUGGUCAUUGUAUUGGCCACUUGCCUGUAUAUAAGGUCACUGAGAAAUUUCUCUUGGAAUUAAAAUCUAGGAACAAAAUUUUUCUCUUAAGAAAGUGGUUCCCUUUUGUUGUUUUUUUCCCCUUUACUAUCAGGAAGCUCAAAGCCAAUGCUAAAAUGCAUUCAAAACCAAAACUAAAGCAGAAACAAGACAACUACUCCAGUGUGUUUUCUCCCCUCUGCAUGUCUGCCUGAUGCUAAUUUUCCUAUUAACGUUUUGUUAAUCUUUAAGUUGCUUUACAUUCUUAGGGAAUAAAGUAGGAAAUAAAUAUAAAGAAGGUAACAAGCAAAAGGAGGGAAUGACUGUUCCAUGCACUGCUUGGUAUUUAUGACCCAAAGAACAGUUGGUCAUAAGGAAGACCUGCUAAAUUUGAAUGACCUCAUAGUUUUUGGAGGAUCAGCCAGGCAUACAUGGCAAAUAAGGGUCAACCCCUUUAGCCUCCAGCUUUGUCUGGGAAGAGGCUGAGCUAUGGGGGUGUUGAAGGAGCCCAAUGGCCACCAUGUGGUGGCCUCUAGGAGAAUAAGCACAAGCUUCUGUUGUUUCCUGAGAAUGCCACCUCCUGCUGUUUACUAGGAGUCUGGGAAGUGUCUGAGAGGCGAUGCUGUUCAGGGCAACCUGGGAUCCAGCCCUGGGAUAACACCAUCACCUGCUUUCCGUGAAUGAAGAGCAGAUUACUUUUAGUAAAUACAACCACUCAUUAAUAACCCUAAGUUUUAAAGCUUUUAAAGAAAUCAUUAUUAAGUGUGGCUACUUCAUUUUAAAUGCAAAAACCUUGAAUAGACCAGAGAUCUUAAUUUUUUUAAAGAAGCUGAGUAUUUUAAUUAUGAAUGUACUUGCAUAUUCUUAGCAUACUUCAUUAUUUAUGUAGCCGGUGAAAAAGCUUUCUAAUUAAAUAGCAUGCUGGCAAUCCAUUGUGAAAUGUAUAAAUGCAGGUUUUCCUAGCAUUAAAAAACUACACACAAACACACACGAACCAUUCUGGCAAGCACACAUCCUUUAAUCGCUAUGAGAUACUUGUUUCUGAAUGAUCUUAAGCUUUAUCAAACUUUUGUUUUAUUGGUAACAAAAUAAACAGUAUAAUUUGCC